rnacentral:rRNA from 1 species
UACAGAGGGUGCAAGCGUUGUUCGGAAUCAUUGGGCGUAAAGCGCACGUAGGCGGUGUGUCGCGUCGGCCGUGAAAACCUGCAGCUUAACUGUGGGCUUGCGGUCGAUACGGGCAUCACUGGAGUUCGGCAGGGGAGACUGGAAUUCCUGGUGUAGCGGUGAAAUGCGCAGAUAUCAGGAGGAACACCGGUGGCGAAGGCGGGUCUCUGGGCCGAUACUGACGCUGAGGAGCGAAAGCGUGGGGAGCGAACAGG